rnacentral:sRNA from 1 species
AUGAAUAUAAAGACUAAAAUGCCCAGAACAGGGAUAGCGCAGGCACUAAUAGUGUAAGUUUCCCUACACUUUUCUAUCAUCAGUGUGCCUCAACCCAGCUCUGCAGGGACCACCUCUUGGCAUGAGAAGGUAGUUUAGUCUCCAAACCUAUUUCAGUCCUUGGCCUGC